rnacentral:rRNA from 1 species
UACGUAGGGUGCAAGCGUUAAUCGGAAUUACUGGGCGUAAAGCGUACGCAGGCGGCUUUGCAAGACAGGUGUGAAAUCCCCGGGCCUAACCUGGGAACUGCAUUUGUGACUGCAUGGCUAGAGUUUGUCAGAGGGGGUGGAAUUCCACGUGUAGCAGUGAAAUGCGUAGAGAUGUGGAAGAACACCGAUGGCGAAGGCAGCCCCCUGGGAUGUGACUGACGCUCAUGUACGAAAGCGUGGGGAGCAAACAGG